UCUUGUAAUGCUGUUACUUAUAGACAAUGAUUUACCACAGUAGGUUCUAAAGAUAGUAUAAUGGUAGUUCUGCUAGAAACACUGCUUAAGAGUUCAGAGAAACUGGUUUGUUUGAAGAGAUCUGAAGCUAUUGAGCCAAUUAAGAAUUUACAAACUUCUCAUAUGCUUUCUGAAGAAUUAAUUAGCAGAAGGAGAGCCCUUAAUACACAUACAUGUGCUCUUGCCAAGAUGAACUUGGAAGGAAUCUUAUUCUGCUCCCUAUUACUACCUAUUCCCAGCGAAGCUCUAGAGGAGAUAAAUGAGCAAGUUCUUCUCAAGCUAUCUGCAUCCUGUUAUCACUUGGUAUAAGUCAGGAGUUAUGAGAGGCUGACUGAACUCCCUUGAGAAUUUCCAAGGACUGCCCCUUUCUUCUCCUUGUGGCUAAUCCUUGGAAUAUCAAAAAUCUUUCUUAAUGUUUCUGUGACUUCUUUCUUUUUUAUCUCAUCCUUAAGGCAGUGGGCAGUGAAAAAGGAAAGGUGAAACCUAUCCAAGAAGGGUUAAUAGAACUUUCUGAAGUUCAGAGAUGUUGAAUCUUGAAUUGCAUUGAAUUUGGUACAGACGUUCAGAACAAUUUUCAUUUUAUCUAAACUGGUGACUAAACUGACUGAUUCAGACAGUCUGGCUUUUACUGGAAUUGCUUUACUGCUGUCUCAUUUUAUCUGAAUGGGUCUGCAUGCCUCUUGUUUUUUCGGACUCAUUCAAUGUGGUUUUAGUUCAU